GAUAGGUCUGAGGUGGAAGCGUGGCGACACGUGGAGCUGACAGAUACUAAUAGGUCGAGGACUUAACCAUA
rnacentral:rRNA from 1 species